ensembl:lncRNA
UAAUGGGGUCCUAUGGGGUUUUAUGGGGAUUUAUUGGUCUUCCGGGGUUUAAUGGGGUCCUAUAGGUCUUAUGGGGUUUUAUGGGGUUCUAUGGGGCUUAAUGGGGUCCUGUGGGGCUUAAUGGGGUCCUAUGGGGUUUUAUGGGGUCUUUUGGGGUCUUACGGUGUUUAAUGGGGUCUUAUGGGAUCCUAUUGAGUUUAAUGGGGUCUUUUUAGAUCCUAUUGAGUUUUAUGGGGUCUUAUGGGGUCCUAUGGGGUCUUAUGGGGUUUUAUGGGGUCUUAUGGGGUCUUCAGGGGUUUUAUGGGGUCUUAUGGUGUCUUACGGUGUUUAAUGGGGUCUUAAAGGAUCCUAUUGAGUUUUAUGGGGUCCUAUGUGGUCCUAUGGGGUCUUAUGGGGUCCUAUGGGGUUUUAUGGGGUCCUAUGGGGUCUUACGGUGUUUAAUGGGGUCCUAUGGGGUCUUAUGGGGUCUUACGGUGUUUAAUGGGGUCUUAUGGGGUCAGAGAGUGUUUAUAGGCUCCUUAUGGGGUUUUAUGGGCUUUUAUGGGGUCUUAUGGUGUCCUAUGACCCCAUAAGACCCCAUAAGACCCCAUGAGACCCCAUGAGACCCCAUGAGACCCUAUAGGAACCAUAUAAACCCUCUUACCCCAUAUAUCCCAUAUAAGAUCCCAUAAAAAAUCCAUAUUGGGGACUUUAUAGGAACUUUAUAGGAUUUUUAUGGGGUUUUCAAGCCAUAAACCGAACUGCGCAUGCGCCGGAUCCCGCUACGUAAAAUGCGUAGGCGCGUCAUCGCCGUACGUAAAGUGCGGCCGCUCAACACCCUACUGCGCAUGCGCUGAGUCGGAAAACAACACUGCGCAUGCGCCCUCUUCUGUCACAAUUCACACUGCGCAUGCGCUCUCUCCUUCUCAAUUCACACUGCGCAUGUGCAGGAUCCCGAUUUCCAUCAAUUUGCGCAUGCGUGGUUGCUCCGUUUAGCACACCGCGCAUGCGCAGGCUCAAGUCGCCGCGCUGCGCAUGCGCUGUUGCUCCUCUCGCCUCGCUGCGCAUGCGCAAUCCCCGCUACGCCUUUUUUCUCUCUCCCGUUUCGAUCGUUGAACCGCCGCGCGUUCCGUUCACCCGUACGCCGCUUUAUUUCUCUUCCCGAGCCCACGGCCGCGAUUUUCUGCCGUUAAAACGCCGUUAGCGUUCCGAAAGCCACGCGGAAAUUCACAAAGCGAUAAAAAUACACACGCGUUUGCUUUGACGCUGAUCGGCCGCGUUUUCCCGUUGCUGCGGAGGAAAGCGGCGCAGGCCGGUGCGAAAAACGCGCGUUCAGCACCGAUUAAACCGACAAAAAUCCACCGAAAUGCGUCCGCUCGGUUUUCCGGCUCUUCAACGCUGCGCGCCGCCAUUUUGGUGCCGCACUUCCGGUUUUGUGGCGCGGCGUGAUGACGUCACUUCCGUCGCGGGUUGAAGGUAUAAAAGGGGGCGGAGCGGGGCGGCGCCAUUAAAGUUGCAUUGAAGCGGCUGCUGGGCGGACCGUUAUCCAGGUAAUUAAUAACCGUUAGUUAAUGAUUAAUUAGCGAUUGGUUC